GAUGAACGCUGGCGGCGUGCCUAAUACAUGCGAGUCGAGCGAACAGACGAGGAGCUUGCUCCUCUGACGUUAGCGGCGGACGGGUGAGUAACACGUGGAUAACCUACCUAUAAGACUGGGAUAACUUCGGGAAACCGGAGCUAAUACCGGAUAAUAUAUUGAACCGCAUGGUUCAAUAGUGAAAGACGGUUUUGCUGUCACUUAUAGAUGGAUCCGCGCCGCAUUAGCUAGUUGGUAAGGUAACGGCUUACCAAGGCAACGAUGCGUAGCCGACCUGAGAGGGUGAUCGGCCACACUGGAACUGAGACGCGGUCCAGACUCCUACGGGAGGCAGCAGUAGGGAAUCUUCCGCAAUGGGCGAAAGCCUGACGGAGCAACGCCGCGUGAGUGAUGAAGGUCUUCGGAUCGUAAAACUCUGUUAUUAGGGAAGAACAAAUGUGUAAGUAACUAUGCACGUCUUGACGGUACCUAAUCAGAAAGCCACGGCUAACUACGUG
rnacentral:rRNA from 1 species